rnacentral:rRNA from 1 species
UACGUAGGUGGCAAGCGUUGUCCGGAUUUACUGGGCGUAAAGCGUGCGCAGGCGGUCCGCAAAGUCUGAUGUGAAAGCCCCGGGCUCAACCUGGGAACUGCAUUGGAAACUAACGGGCUCGAGUGUGGCAGAGGGGGGGUGGGAAUUCCACGUGUAGCAGUGAAAUGCGUAGAGAUGUGGAGGAACACCGAUGGCGAAGGCAGCCCCCCUGGGCUGACACUGACGCCUCAUGCACGAAAGCGUGGGGAGCAAACAGG